UCCCAGGUGGCUUAGCUGGUAAAGAAUCUGCCUGCAAUGUGGGAGACCUGGGUUCAACCCCUGGGUUGGGAA
rnacentral:tRNA from 1 species